ACUGAGGCCAGGAGCUUCAGGAUGGUGCAAUAUGUGAAGUGACCAGUAGAGCCCAUGGUCAUGGGCCCAUUCCACACUGUCUUUGCUGUUCAUGAACUCUCCUAAUCAUGCUAUCACGUGUGAUUCUUUGUGGACUCCAUAAGUCCCUGGAUAGUGGUGCUGGUUGAGUCUUUCAGGCAGAGAAGCCAAAACCAUGCCUGGAAUAGGUGUUUAUUGCUGUGAGAAGCAACUUCUGGCCCUAGGAUGAAAGGUGCUCAAUGUAUCUGACUUGCCACAAAGUCGUUUCUUGAUCCUCUCAAGGAAUGCUGCCAAUCUGGGACCUCAAUGUUGAUCUCUUGCUGGCAGGUUGGCCACCCAUAAGUGGUAGUAGCUAGACUGGCUCUGGUAAAAGCAAGUCCAUGAUGUUGGGCCUGUAUAUAGCCUCUUUCUCUGCCGCUGUGUCCACUUCAUUCAUGCAUCCACUGUGCCAAAUAUGGUGUGACUGAAAGGCUGGCUAAUGUCAGGUGGCAGUCAUUGUAUCUACUUGGUUAUUCAGUAGCUCUUCUGUGGUGAAUUCUUACGGGUGGGUGUUAACACGGGAUAAAGAUCUUCAUACUUCAUGUCUACCCCAAUAUGUCCAUCUGUAUCCCUCUACCAAUAUCUCCUUCUCUCUCUGUUCUCUUAAUGUUUUAGUCUGCUACCUGAUAGCUAGGCCAUUGCCCAUUACCCAUGUGUUUAUGUACGUUCUCACUACAUAAGACCCUUUCUCAUACUAAGCGGAUGACUAAUGUACGGCUUGAAACCUCAGACGCUGGGAGCCAGCUAAUACUUGGUUGAAUUUGAAGUAGUUUAGUCAUUCUCCAGUAUCAGUUCAGGUUACUCAUGGACUGGAAUGUAAAAUUAAACUGAGAUAAGGACCACCAACUCUUUUGCAUAGUGCUAAUCUUGGCUAUCCCCCAUGCAGUACUUUUGACUUAUCUUGGCUGGGGUAGGGACAGUUUCAGAAACUCACAAUUUGCCUUAUCCCCUGUGAUAGCUCUUAUUUCACAUGCCGAGGACCUAUGGGGGUUAUGCCAAAUAGCAUGUAUAUUAACAUCGAUUAUAUACUGAGACAGAUAAUAACUUCUGGGUGGGUUCCCAGAUUUAUUGGACCAGUUGUCAGCCAUACAUUGGCCAGGACUUCAUUUAUUACCUGACUCCUGUAUGUCCACACUUUAACAUAGGGCUAUGGUGUUUUGGAUCUCCAGAGGUCAAUGCCAACUUAGAUCCUAUGUCCAAUAGUUGAAUUUCCCAUAUUCCAGUGUAUAUAAAUACAAAAAAUGGCCAUAAGAACAGGUAGCUUUUAAGAACACUUGCCUGCCCAGCUGGUCUGGUCUUCCCACUAUACAGCUAGAGUUUCUAGCACUUGAACCCCUGCUUCUGGGGCCAUUGACACUAAGGUCAACAUGAAUAAGGCCUGAUCCUGUCUUCUAAUGAAUCAACUUAACAGGAAGGAUAGAACUACAAUGGAAGGAGCUUAGUGUGGUGAUGACAAUAGAGAUUACUGACUUUGGUGCCUCUUUAGUAUUAAUGGGAGUAGAGUCAGGGAAAGAGCCCUAAAGUCUUAAAGUACUGUUACCCCAUGUGAAAAGGUAGAGUUCUGGAACUAAGUAGUACAACAAGAGCAUUCCAUGUAGACAACAAGAGGAAAGUUUAUGGAGAACUGCAAGCAGUUUGCUAUUGCCAUUACCAUGCUGGGGAGGGGAGAAGGUUCUUUUAAGAAAUGAAUGUUAACACUUACCUAAACUGUAAAGGAAGACGCUGGGUGGUUUUAGGCAGGGUAGUAUCACGGUCAGACUUGCAUCUUCAACAUUAUAGCAGUAUUUCGAGCAGAAAAACUGACUCUUGGAAGUAGAAUGGGUGCAUCAUAAGAGUAAGCAAUAAUAGAGAUCAUAACUAGCUUAUGGGUUUCUGGUAUAGGCACUUCUGAAUAUGGUUGUACUGUUAAUUCAGCAGAACAAGUUUAGAAAGGAAGAAAACUGCCAUUGUCCUAUCUGAUCUUAGGACUUAGAUCCAACAAAAUUUAGCUCACGAUGGUAGCUCCAAUUGGGAUAUUUCUUGGUGUCGUGUUCAAGACUCAAUCUCUCCUGGGGCCCAGUAGUAAGUGAUCUGUCUCUGCCCUAUUGUAAACCUUGUCUGGAAACAUUUGGUAUCUUAAAUACACAAAUCAAUGUUCUACUUUGGUAUAAACUCUGACCUUUUUAGAUACGGUCUUUAUUCCCAAAACUCAUGUGCUUUGUCCUCUGACCUCUAGACCUUAGACCUUUUCUCCAAACCCUUAAUUCUGCCCUACUCACUUUGUCUUCUUGGAUUUUUGUCUAACUUUCAACUGGUUUUGUUAGCUGCUUUCAACACUCAUCUUUCUGCUGGUAAUUCAUCCUGGAUUAUUCUGAAAGCAGCAGAUGAAUGUUUCGUACCUGGUUGUGACAUUGAAGCCAGUCCAGAGUAUCUUCAUACUACUUCUGUGGCCUGUGUCCUUCCUGGGUUCUCCCAGCUCUGCACUGAUACAAAGCCCACACCAGGCACUCUUCUCUAAGCAGACAGUAGACCCAGCAGACUUCAUCCUGACUAGUCAGUGCUUUCAGCUAGCACUGAAAAUGUGCUGGGAACGGAAAGAGUAGAAAUGUCCCAGUGGACUGCUGGGACAGGCCUCUCCCAGAGAGGAAAGGCUACUUUCAUACGGUAGAGGAAACUCUCCCACGCUGCCCUUCAAAAGGCAGUGUCAGACUGCCCUAGAGCCCACCCAGGAGCUGUCAAGCUUGGAAACUUCUGGUUCUGCUAACUGGGGUUUGUCACUAUUGGGAAGUCUCUUCCCCUGUGUUUGCUGGCAGUGUCUUCUAGGUUGUAUGGGGCACCUGAUGGGCCGGUUUUUGCACAGUGGACCUGUCUUGCCAGUGUGGUCAGUGCUUUCAGCUAGCACUGUGAAAAUGUGCUGGGAAUGGAAAGAAUGGAAACGUCCCAGUGGACUGCUGGGACACGCCUCUCCCAGAGAGGAAAGUCUGCUUUCAUACUGUAGAGGAACCUCUCCCAAGCUGCCCUUCAAAAGGCAGUGUCAGACUGCCCUAGAGCCCACCCAGGAGCUGUCAAGCUUGGAAACUUCUGGUUCUGCUAACUGGGGUUUGUCACUAUUGGGAAGUCUCUUCCCCUGUGUUUGCUGGCAGUGUCUUCUAGGUUGUAUGGGGCACCUGAUGGGCCGGUUUUUGCACAGUGGACCUGUCUUGCCAGUGUGGGUGGGUUCUAAACUUCAACCUCCACAAACAGGGCCUGUAAUGUUUGCUGUAACA
rnacentral:lncRNA from 1 species